CUCAGUCGCCCCGAUCCUCCCUCUCCAAAGUUCUCGACUACCGGAUCUAGGACCACCUUCACCGGACUUUUUCUUUUCUUCAUCCUUGACCUCUCCUCUUCUCCUCCUUCCUCGGUGGGAGAAAUGGAGCUUGAGGUCACAACUGUGGCCGAUCAUGCCAACGCCGACUCAGCGGCCGAACACCAUAGGAAUGCACUUUCACUCCAGAGUUAGUGGCAGCAUCAAUCUGUUCCCUUGUUGUUGAAGCAAAUGUAACAAUCGCUGUGAUCAGAUAGAAGUCAGCAAGAUGUCAGCCAAAGACGUUUAAACAACUGGGUUACUGGAGUACACAAUAUCACUAUUCAGAACUUUUAAUUCACACAUUUCAGUCGCUGAGCAGAUUUGCAAUCGGCAGAUAGAAUCUGCAAAACGAGAGUUGGUUUAGAGUUCAAGAACAGAACAUGCCAUAUGGUCGAAAAAUAAUGCUCAAUGCCAAAGGAACCAGAAUAUUGGAAAGAAAGUACUAGAUGCUUACUUCUUUCAUGUUCUUAUCUUGGACAAAAACAACAUCAACUUCAGCAUGCUCUAUUAUGUAAUUGAUAGCCCCUGAUCCUGUUGCCAUAAAAAGGCUGAGAGGCAUUAUGA